rnacentral:rRNA from 1 species
CGUAUGCCUACAAGCAGUGGGAGGGCUAUGCCUGGGUAACCGGGAAUGCCUGACCGCGUGCCUUUUGCAUAAUGAGCCGGCUAGUUAUUCUCAGUGGCGAGGUUAAGCGUAAAGCGAGCCGUAGCGAAAGCGAGUCCGAAUGGGGCGUCCAGUCGCUGGGGAAUAGACGCGAAGCGGGAUGAUCUACCCUUGGCCAGGAUGAAGCGUGAGUAACAUCACGUGGAGGUCCGAACCAGUGUUGGUUGAAAACAGCUUGGAUGAGCUGAGGGUAGGGGUGAAAGGCUAAUCAAAUUCCGUGAUUGCCCGUUCUCCUCGAAAUGCCUUUAGGGGCAGCCUCGGAGGGUCGGCGACGGUGGUAGAGACAUGAUUGGACUAGGGGGCUUACCAGCUUACUGAAUCCAGCCAAACUUCGAAUGCCGUCGACACGUACUCCGGUAGUGAGACUGUGGGGGCU